GACGAACGCUGGCGGCGUGCUUAACACAUGCAAGUCGAACGGUAAGGCCCUUCGGGGUACACGAGUGGCGAACGGGUGAGUAACACGUGGGUGAUCUGCCCUGCACUUCGGGAUAAGCCUGGGAAACUGGGUCUAAUACCGGAUAGGACCACUGCCUGCAUGGGUGGUGGUGGAAAGCUGUUGCGGUGUGGGAUGGGCCCGCGGCCUAUCAGCUUGUUGGUGGGGUGAUGGCCUACCAAGGCGACGACGGGUAGCCGGCCUGAGAGGGUGACCGGCCACACUGGGACUGAGAUACGGCCCAGACUCCUACGGGAGGCAGCAGUGGGGAAUAUUGCACAAUGGGCGCAAGCCUGAUGCAGCAACACCGCGUGAGGGAUGACGGCCUUCGGGUUGUAAACCUCUUUUAGUAGGGAAGAAGCGAAAGUGACGGUACCUGCAGAAAAAGCACCGGCUAACUACGUGCCAGCAGCCGCGGUAA
rnacentral:rRNA from 1 species